GCGACUAAGCGUACACGGUGGAUGCCCUGGCAGUCAGAGGCGAUGAAGGACGUGCUAAUCUGCGAUAAGCGCCGGUAAGGUGAUAUGAACCGUUAUAACCGGCGAUUUCCGAAUGGGGAAACCCAGUGUGAUUCGUCACACUAUCAUUAACUGAAUCCAUAGGUUAAUGAGGCGAACCGGGGGAACUGAAACAUCUAAGUACCCCGAGGAAAAGAAAUCAACCGAGAUUCCCCCAGUAGCGGCGAGCGAACGGGGAGGAGCCCAGAGCCUGAAUCAGCAUGUGUGUUAGUGGAAGCGUCUGGAAAGGCGCGCGAUACAGGGUGACAGCCCCGUACACAAAAGCGCAUGUGCUGUGAGCUCGAUGAGUAGGGCGGGACACGUGGUAUCCUGUCUGAAUAUGGGGGGACCAUCCUCCAAGGCUAAAUACUCCUGACUGACCGAUAGUGAACCAGUACCGUGAGGGAAAGGCGAAAAGAACCCCGGCGAGGGGAGUGAAAAAGAACCUGAAACCGUGUACGUACAAGCAGUGGGAGCACAGGUUUACCUGUGUGACUGCGUACCUUUUGUAUAAUGGGUCAGCGACUUAUAUUCUGUAGCAAGGUUAACCGAAUAGGGGAGCCGGAGGGAAACCGAGUCUUAAUUGGGCGUUAAGUUGCAGGGUAUAGACCCGAAACCCGGUGAUCUAGCCAUGGGCAGGUUGAAGGUUGGGUAACACUAACUGGAGGACCGAACCGACUAAUGUUGAAAAAUUAGCGGAUGACCUGUGGCUGGGGGUGAAAGGCCAAUCAAACCGGGAGAUAGCUGGUUCUCCCCGAAAGCUAUUUAGGUAG
rnacentral:rRNA from 1 species